GUCGUGUACGAACAUACGCCAAAGCCGGCGCUGUUCGUUUCUUUAUAAGGCGGUGCGAAACAAGACUCGGAACCCUUCUGGCUGCGAUGACUAGUGACAGGGCGGCUUCGAUUUCUCCUCGGCCACGUCGUUAUUUAUACAAUGGACUCAGCCGAUACGGUAUCCGGUUGUGCGGUCAAAGCCGAUCGCACGAAGGUGGGGUGUGGACGGUCGUCGAGGGAUGGACACAGCCCCGAGCAGAAGCUACUUCGCAAGAGGAGACGUUUGAACAGCGAAGCUGCCUCAAGCGACAAAGUCAAGGGACUGAAGGCAACUUCUUAAUACCGUUUUGAGUGAUGGCAUGGGCGUUGAAAUAAUGCUUAAUUUGAUUGUGUGAGAACGAUCACAUUUGUAGAUUUUUGUUGCAGUUUUUUUGUUGGGAACUCUAUAGAAGCAUAACCAUACUGUGACUUUAGAUGUCUGCUGUUUGGAACUU